rnacentral:rRNA from 1 species
GACGAACCGAGCGAACGUUGUUCGGAAUCACUGGGCUUAAAGGGCGCGUAGGCGGCUUGACAAGUCACUUGUGAAAUCUCCGGGCUUAACUCGGAACGGCCAAGUGAAACUGUCAUGCUAGAGUGCAGAAGGGGCAAUCGGAAUUCUCGGUGUAGCGGUGAAAUGCGUAGAUAUCGAGAGGAACACCUGCGGCGAAGGCGGGUAGCUGGGCCGACACUGACGCUGAUGCGCGAAAGCCAGGGGAGCGAACGGG